UUUAAGUUUAAAGUAAUCAUUCGUGCGUGUGUUCAUGAAUUACUAAGAGUAACAAGUAGGAUUUAUUUUAGAGUUAUAAACAGUGUGAAUCUUUCUUAUACUCAGUUAAAAAUUGAGGAUCAACAUCAGAGUCAUUUCUUGCUUGAUACAUAGGGGAUUUGUUUAUUUUCUUCCUUUCACGUCCAGGGCUCACACUAAAAUUCCCUAUAUUUGCCCAAGAUAGUUGCAUUUGCCUACAUUUCAUAAUCAGCAUACAUUACAUCAUAAAUGUGUUUGUUUUUCUAUGACGUAAAUAAAAAAAUUGUCUGAAACAUAAAAAAAAAAGGCAGUACAUAUAAUUUCCGUUGAGAUUUUAAUUUUCAUAGGGAAGAUCGAGUGAGGAGAUUAGAGGUUUUGUUAUUCAUUCUUGACUAAAAUCUUUGUCAAGGCAUGUUUCUUAACAUACCAAAAAAAAGGUUUGUUCAUAAUUGCUAUUUUAUAUAUGAAACUGAAUCAACGAACCUCUCCAUAUUACUCCUUCUCUCAUUACGAAUACUCCAUGUUCUUUGCUAAGAACUAUUCUCAGACAAAGCACCUUUUAAGUAUUCGUAAGUUUGCUCAUUCACUUUUUAGCAUGGUAAUUUCGUAUGUGAUUGUAUUGACAAACAAAAGGAAAUUCUAACAUACUAGAUACAAAUUACAAUCAUAUAGGAGGAGAAACUUCAAAAAGUUAUUUCAAUAUUGAUUGAAAUCGAGAUCACUGUUGAUACAUAUUAAGAGAUAUAUGUUUUUCGUUCUGUAUGAUAAGCACUUCAAAGUUUGCACCAAGUUUAUCCAAGACAACAAUCCGAAGAAGUUGUAACAGCUAGUAUAUUUAUAUCCAUUAUAGAAGAGGAAGAGUUACAAUUUAAGAAUGAAAAGCAAAUUCUGAUAUGACCAGCUCCUUGCUUCAAAAGGUUUCCCCUCUAAGACUAAACUACAGGAUCAAAUAAAUAUUCUCCAAUUGACGUUACUUUUUCUAUGUUUGUGUGAAUAUAGCUUGUCUAUAACCUCAUAAUAAAUAUGAGAGUAAAUACAUUAUGGAUAGAGAAUCAUCACACGUUUAUUAGUUAUUAUUUACAUAUAAUUUUACUCUUUGCAAAAUAUUAUAAAUAUAACUUAAUGGAUUGUACUAAAGUGAACUUAAAUGCUGUCCAAUACAGAAAUACUCUUUUUAACUA
rnacentral:lncRNA from 1 species